CCUACGGGUGGCAGCAGUGAGGAAUAUUGGUCAAUGGGCGCGAGCCUGAACCAGCCAAGUAGCGUGAGGGAGGACUGCCCUACGGGUUGUAAACUUCUUUUAUAAAGGAAUAAAGUGAGGCACGUGUGCCUUUUUGUGUGUACUUUAUGAAUAAGCAUCGGCUAACUCCGUGCCAGCAGCCGCGGUAAUACGGAGGAUCCGAGCGUUAUCCGGAUUUAUUGGGUUUAAAGGGAGCGUAGAUGGGUUGUUAAGUCAGUUGUGAAAGUUUGCGGCUCAACCGUAAAAUUGCAAUUGAUACUGGCAGCCUUGAGUACAGGUGAGGUAGGCGGAAUGCGUGGUGUAGCGGUGAAAUGCUUAGAUAUCACGAAGAACUCCGAUUGCGAAGGCAGCUUACUAACCUGCCACUGACAUUGAUGCUCGAAAGUGUGGGUAUCAAACAGGAUUAGAUACCCUGGUAGUC
rnacentral:rRNA from 1 species